GUGUGCCUCAGCAUGAGACGCCACUCAUGCAAGACUGUGGUGUGUGCUGGACGCUGCUGUUCUCUCUGUGUCCAGCUUUCGCUGUUCUCUCCUCUCUCCUCUCCGGUUUUCUGGUUUAUCACCUCUGUCAGAAAAAAGCUAAAGAACCUGAAGCUGAUCAGCAAAGACCUCAAACAAGACUGAAUCAGGAUGAAGAUGUGUGUUAUGGUGCAGUGGAAAUCCGUCAAGCAUCACAGAGACCAAAGAAGAAGAAAACCCAGAGUUCUGACUUCUGCACAUAUUCUGCCAUCAAUACAUCUAGGAUGUAGAGAGCCUAAAGAACAGAAAACAACAAACAUAAUACAUUGUAAAAUUAUGAUUAAUGAUGAAUGGUAUAAUUAAUUCAGGAUAAGUAUAAACCAUUCUGUUACUUAUCGCAGGUUGCGAUUUUCCGAGGGGAUGCGUGGGAUUUCCCCCUUUCUGGUCUAUAUCCCUGC